rnacentral:lncRNA from 1 species
GUACAUAUUGGUCUUAAACUAAUAUCACAGGAACUUAUUUAAAACUUUUAAUAUUAACUGGAACAAAAUUCAUGGAGCUAUGAUAUUUGUUCCGGAACUUAUUUCAUAUUUGGUAAAAAAAUCUAGUACGGAACAAAUUUUACAGUGCUGGAACAUAUUUUCUGUGAUAUAAGUUCCGGCAGAACAUAUUUUCUAUGAAAUUUGUUCCAGCGGAACAAAUGUCACGCCG